rnacentral:lncRNA from 1 species
AAAAAAGCCUAUAGUCCGGUUAUCUAGGUGACGCAUAAGUAUUGAUCCUAUAAACAUUGUAACUAGAUGAUGUUAAGCAUUAGAACAUCCUAUUGGCAUGAUUUCUAGAUAAUUGAAAGCAUAAAAAGCUUAUAGGCAUGCUUUCUAGAUGAUUAAAGCAUAAAAGAUCCUAUAGAUAUGAUUUCUACCCAUUGACUUAUGCAAGCAAUAUAAACACAUCCCACACCCUUUACUAAUAUAUUCCCCGAAUUUUAUGACAUAGUUAUUACAAAACUGGAAAGCAAUAGGCUAAAAUAAGUACAUCAAAACUAAAUCCAUACCCGAGAUGGCUCAAUGAAACCUUCCACAUCCAAAACAUAUGUUUCACCAAAUCUGGAUUCCAGAUUCCAAGGCCUUCUCUUAGAGUGUUUCAAAGUUCCAAGGGUCUUCAGGAACCCAGGCAAUGCUUACACUCUAAAGAUUGAAUGUUGUAACAAAGUAGUGCAAUGUGUGGAAUUACCAGCCCUUAGGCAUCCAAGUUCAUAGGGAACUCUAAGGUCCCAAAGCAUGACUUACCAAAAGGGGAAAGAACUUAAAGAACUAAGAAUAAGUGUAAACUGAGGGGACUGGAGGAAACCAAAGCAAAGGGUGGUCAUACCCAGCCAUGGGUAAAACCGGCACACCCCUGACCUUCCACUUGGUUUUAAACAGAUAAAGAGCAGACUUUAAAACUCAGACAGGGGCCUGGGUGGUGAUUAGGACACCUCCAAAGCCUAGUCAAGGCUCAAAACAUUACGGGGAGAAGGGAAUGGGACUAAUUUGAGUAAAGGUCCAAAAGGACCUGGUCCCAGGUCAUGGAUAGCAAUGGGAUGCUACCCUAACCUAGAACUGUACUCACACAUAAAGGGGUCAGGGGGAAGGGGUUCACAUGGAAAAACCUCAAGUAACAGAACUUAAAGGUGCAGAAACCUACUCACACAUAAAGGGGUCAGGGGGAAAGGGUUCACAUGGAAAAACCUCAAGUAACAGAACUUAAAGAUGCAGAAACAUGAAGAAUGAACAUAACAGACUAAAACACAAUUAUAUAGUGCAAGAAAACUGCACAUAUAGUGAGGGAAUGCAAAAAGGAUAAUUAAACACAUAGUUGUAGAGAGUGUUUAACUUAAAGGGACAUACCAAUUGCAAUAUUCAAAUAACAGAACAAACAAAGCAAGAAAAUAGCCAGGAAAUCUUUAGCAAACACUUGAGGAAAGUAAGAGAGAUUCCAAAGUCUAGCCUUGGCUGUCAACUAGCUAGUCAGAACAAUAGCACAAGUAAUAGUAAAGAAGAGAGCUUUGAGUGUGUGUGUGUUUUUGAACUUAAUUGUUCGUGUUUUAAAGAAAAGGAAUAGGGUAUUUAUAGUUGAAAACAUGCAGUAAACAAGGCAAGAAACAGUUCAGUACCAAUCAUAAUCGAUCAGGAGAAGGGAACCCCCUUAAUUAAGGAGUUCGAAUUUGAAUAGGAAGGGUAGAGUUUUUAUUUAAUGAAAGAAAAUCAAGAAUACAUUGUUAGUAAAGGGUAAAUACAUAAGAGAAGUUUAAGAAUACAUGAUUUAGAUAAAUAAGGUAAGAA